CGGACGGGUGAGUAACGCGUGGGGAACCUGCCCUGUACAGGGGGAUAACACUUAGAAAUAGGUGCUAAUACCGCAUAAGCGCACAGUAUCGCAUGAUACAGUGUGAAAAACUCCGGUGGUACAGGAUGGACCCGCGUCUGACUAGCUGGUUGGCGGGGUAACGGCCCACCAAGGCGACGAUCAGUAGCCGGCCUGAGAGGGUGAACGGCCACAUUGGGACUGAGACACGGCCCAAACUCCUACGGAAGGCAGCAG
rnacentral:rRNA from 1 species